rnacentral:rRNA from 1 species
UCCGUAGGCGGGCGUCUAAGUCAGUGGUGAAAUCUUACAGCUCAACUGUAAAAUUGCCAUUGAUACUGGAUGUCUUGAAUUAGUGUGAAGUGGUUAGAAUGUGUAGUGUAGCGGUGAAAUGCAUAGAUAUUACACAGAAUACCAAUUGCGAAGGCAGAUCACUAACAUUAUAUUGACGCUGAUGGACGAAAGCGUGGGGAGCGAACAGGAUUAGAUACCCUGGUAGUCC